GGUUUUUUGGGAUAAUGAAAAAUCUGACCUGCCCAAUGGGGGCUUAAUGGCCGCAGUAUUGUGACUGUGCUAAGGUAGCAUAAUAAUUAGUUUUGUAAUUUGAGACUGGAAUGAAGGGUUGGACGAAGGAAAGACUGUUUCUGAGAAAAAAGUUGAAGUUUAUUUAUGUUGUGAGAAAGCAACAGUGUUGUUGAGGGACGAGAAGACCCUAUUAAGUUUUAUAUGGUGAGAUUAUAAAAAAGGAAAAUUAUUGAUUUUUAGUUGGAGCUGUAUUUUGCUGGGGCGGCGCUGAAAGAGGAAAUCUUUCGGAGGUUGAAAGAAAAGCGUGGAUCCAUCAGGAUUGAUGAGAGGAGGAUUAAAUUACUAUAGGGAUAACAGCGUAAUAUUGUUUGAGAGCUCUUAUUGAUAACAAAUUUUGCGACCUCGAUGUUGAAUUAAAAUACCUUCUUCGGUGAAGUAGCUGGGAAAGGAGGUCUGUUCGACCUUUGAAAUUUUACA
rnacentral:rRNA from 1 species